UCUACGGGAGGCAGCAGUGGGGAAUAUUGCACAAUGGGCGAAAGCCUGAUGCAGCAACGCCGCGUGAGUGAUGAAGGCCUUCGGGUUGUAAAACUCUGUCUUUGGGGACGAUAAUGACGGUACCCAAGGAGGAAGCCACGGCUAACUACGUGCCAGCAGCCGCGGUAAUA
rnacentral:rRNA from 1 species